rnacentral:piRNA from 1 species
UGUUGCAUAGAUUUAUUUUCU